GGAUAAUGCAAGUGUUUAACAGAUGCUUCACUAUUAAAAUAUUUUCCCCCCAAGUCUCAAAUAUUGAAGAAUCUCUAACCAGAAGGCGCAGAUCAUUCAUGGGGAAGUAAAACCGAAACCAGUCCUCUCCACCCCCUGCGGGUCUUCACUUUCCCAGUCUACAUCUGCCUGUGACUCCAGAAAGACAAACUGCAGAUUGGCCAAGAUGGAUUAAGCUGGAAUAAUAAAGUGUAUCUAUGAGAUGAUUUCUGUAAACUCUGACUUGCUGAGAAAAAAGUGAAAAAGCUUUUUCUGGAAGAAACAUGGCAACUUAACCAUUAUUAAUCUGGACUAAAUAAAACAGGAAACUGCUUCUUUA
rnacentral:antisense_RNA from 1 species